rnacentral:rRNA from 1 species
GGGUUGUGAGGUUAAGCGACUAAGCGUACACGGUGGAUGCCCUGGCAGUCAGAGGCGAUGAAGGGCGUGCUAAUCUGCGAUAAGCGCCGGUAAGGUGAUAUGAACCGUUAUAACCGGCGAUACCCGAAUGGGGAAACCCAGUGUGAUUCGUCACACUAUCAUUAACUGAAUCCAUAGGUUAAUGAGGCGAACCGGGGGAACUGAAACAUCUAAGUACCCCGAGGAAAAGAAAUCAACCGAGAUUCCCCCAGUAGCGGCGAGCGAACGGGGAGGAGCCCAGAGCCUGAAUCAGCAUGUGUGUUAGUGGAAGCGUCUGGAAAGGCGCGCGAUACAGGGUGACAGCCCCGUACACAAAAGCGCAUGUGCUGUGAGCUCGAUGAGUAGGGCGGGACACGUGGUAUCCUGUCUGAAUAUGGGGGGACCAUCCUCCAAGGCUAAAUACUCCUGACUGACCGAUAGUGAACCAGUACCGUGAGGGAAAGGCGAAAAGAACCCCGGCGAGGGGAGUGAAAAAGAACCUGAAACCGUGUACGUACAAGCAGUGGGAGCACCCUUUGGGGUGUGACUGCGUACCUUUUGUAUAAUGGGUCAGCGACUUAUAUUCUGUAGCAAGGUUAACCGUAUAGGGGAGCCGGAGGGAAACCGAGUCUUAACCGGGCGUUAAGUUGCAGGGUAUAGACCCGAAACCCGGUGAUCUAGCCAUGGGCAGGUUGAAGGUUGGGUAACACUAACUGGAGGACCGAACCGACUAAUGUUGAAAAAUUAGCGGAUGACCUGUGGCUGGGGGUGAAAGGCCAAUCAAACCGGGAGAUAGCUGGUUCUCCCCGAAAGCUAUUUAGGUAGCGCCUCGUGAACUCAUCUCCGGGGGUAGAGCACUGUUUCGGCUAGGGGGCCAUCCCGGCUUACCAACCCGAUGCAAACUGCGAAUACCGGAGAAUGUUAUCACGGGAGACACACGGCGGGUGCUAACGUCCGUCGUGAAGAGGGAAACAACCCAGACCGCCAGCUAAGGUCCCAAAGUCAUGGUUAAGUGGGAAACGAUGUGGGAAGGCCCAGACAGCCAGGAUGUUGGCUUAGAAGCAGCCAUCAUUUAAAGAAAGCGUAAUAGCUCACUGGUCGAGUCGGCCUGCGCGGAAGAUGUAACGGGGCUAAACCAUGCACCGAAGCUGCGGCAGCGACGCUGAUGCGUUGUUGGGUAGGGGAGCGUUCUGUAAGCCUGCGAAGGUGGCCUGUGAGGGUUGCUGGAGGUAUCAGAAGUGCGAAUGCUGACAUAAGUAACGAUAAAGCGGGUGAAAAGCCCGCUCGCCGGAAGACCAAGGGUUCCUGUCCAACGUUAAUCGGGGCAGGGUGAGUCGACCCCUAAGGCGAGGCCGAAAGGCGUAGUCGAUGGGAAACGGGUUAAUAUUCCCGUACUUGGUGUUACUGCGAAGGGGGGACGGAGAAGGCUAUGUUGGCCGGGCGACGGUUGUCCCGGUUUAAGCGUGUAGGUGUGUGUUCCAGGUAAAUCCGGUUCACUUUAACACUGAGGCGUGA